UUUUUAUGGAGAGUUUGAUCCUGGCUCAGGAUGAACGCUGGCGGCGUGCCUAAUACAUGCAAGUCGAGCGAACAGACGAGGAGCUUGCUCCUCUGACGUUAGCGGCGGACGGGUGAGUAACACGUGGAUAACCUACCUAUAAGACUGGGAUAACUUCGGGAAACCGGAGCUAAUACCGGAUAAUAUAUUGAACCGCAUGGUUCAAUAGUGAAAGACGGUUUUGCUGUCACUUAUAGAUGGAUCCGCGCCGCAUUAGCUAGUUGGUAAGGUAACGGCUUACCAAGGCAACGAUGCGUAGCCGACCUGAGAGGGUGAUCGGCCACACUGGAACUGAGACAC
rnacentral:rRNA from 1 species